ACGUAGGAGGCGAGCGUUAUCCGGAUUUACUGGGCGUAAAGCGUGUGUAGGCGGUUUGAUAAGUUGGAUGUGAAAGCUCCUUUCUUCCCUGGGGGAGGUCGUGCAAAACUAUCAGACUUGAGAGUGGUAGAGGGAGGUGGAAUUCCGCAUGUAGUGGUGAAAUGCGCAGAUAUGAGGAGGAACACCAGUGGCGAAGGCGGCCUCCUGGCCCAUUACUGACGCUCAGACACGAAAGCUAAGGUAGCAAACGG
rnacentral:rRNA from 1 species